UUAUUUUUGUUCGGCGUAAAAGAUUGUAUGAGUUUCGACUUUUCUUCUUUAGCAAUACUUUGGGCAAGAGUAGCAAUAUAUCGUGUGGUAACGCACUAGGAGGCAACAAACAUGGAACAAGGUACAGUAAAAUGGUUUAACGCAGAAAAAGGUUUCGGAUUCAUCGAGCGCGAAAACGGAGACGAUGUAUUCGUACAUUUCUCAGCUAUCCAAUCUGAUGGUUUCAAAUCUUUAGACGAAGGUCAAAAAGUAACUUUCGAAGUUGAGCAAGGUGCUCGUGGCGCUCAAGCUGCUAACGUUCAAAAAGCAUAAGCUUCGUUAUACAAAAACAGGUUCUCUUUAGAGCCUGUUUUUUU
rnacentral:sRNA from 1 species